CCUACGGGUGGCAGCAGUGGGGAAUAUUGCACAAUGGGGGAAACCCUGCUGCAGCAACGCCGCGUGAAGGAAGACGGUUUUCGGAUUGUCAACUUCUGUUCUUAGUGAAGAAUAAUGACGGUAGCUAAGGAGCAAGCCACGGCUAACUACGUGCCAGCAGCCGCGGUAAUACGUAGGUGGCAAGCGUUGUCCGGAAUUACUUGGUGUAAGGGGAGCGCAGGCGGGAAGCCAAAUCAGCUGUGAAAACUACGGGCUUAAAUGGUAGACUGCAGUUGACACUGUACGGCUGGAGUGCAGGAGAGGUAAGUGGAAGUCCUAGUGGAGCGGUGAAAUGCGUAGAUAUUAGGAGGAACACCAGUGGCGAAGGCGGCUUACUGGACUGUAACUGACGUUGAGGCUCGAAAGCGUGGGGAGCAAACAGGAUUAGAUACCCUAGUAGUC
rnacentral:rRNA from 1 species